rnacentral:misc_RNA from 1 species
AAAAAAUGUAGCAUUAAAAUGACGCACUAGGGAUUUUAUUGAUUUUAUGAGGGGUACUUUACAAUAUAGUAAAAUUUCAAAUGCUAUAUAUUCCAAGGAUGGUGUAAUUGUUUGCCUAAGAGACUUCUAACGCAUAUGUGCAUGGCCCCACUAUCUUCUUAACCCUAAAUGGGUUAUCCCAACUGGGCACUAGUAUACCUCUUCCUUAAAUUUUUCUUGUGGCAACAUGCUUUCUUAGCACGAAGUUUCCUCCUUUCAAGAAUUGGUUUUUUUACUCGAGAGUUGUAAUAUCCAACUACCCUUUGCUAGUAAGUUGCAACUCGUAAAAUUAUCUCUUCUCUAAACUCUUCAAGAAGGUCCAAGUUGAUUCUUAGCUUAGCAUCAUUGAUCCCUUUCUCUGCAAAUUGGACUCAAUAACUUGGCAUAUCAAUUUCAAUGGGGAUAGUUGCAUUGAUUCCGAAUGCUAGCUGAAAAGGAAUUUCACAAGUUGGUUCUCGAGGGGUGGUUUUGUAUCUCCAUAGGAUGCUUGACAACUCAUCAGCUCAAUUUUCCCUUGCCUUUUCCACCUUUUCUAAUCCUUGUAGGAUUGCUCAGUUUGUCACUCUGCUAAACCAUUGGUCUAUGGGUGAGAUACUGAUGCAAACCUUAAACUAAUGUGUAAGUUGUUACACAAGUCCCUAAACUAUUUGUUAUAAUUGUCUACCACUAUUAAUGAUUACUACUUUGGGAGCACCAAAUUGGCAAACUAUAUUUUUACAAAAGGCGGUGACCUUUAUAGCUAUGAUGAUAGUUACGGCCUCUGCUUCUAUACACCUAGUGAAGUAAAUCUACUACCACAACAAUGAAUUUUCUUUGUCCUGUUGUUUUUUGGAAUGCCCUAGUAAAUUUAUCCCCCUUGCACAAAUGACUAGGGGUUGAAAAUAGGAAUUUAGUCUACAGCAAACAUCUUGCUUAUUUUAGCAAAUUGUUGGCAAGUGUCACGUUUUCUUACAAGAGACACUGCAUCAUGUUUCAUAGUGGACUAAUAGAAAUCUUGCCUAAUCAUUUUAGCCACUAGUGCUUUUUUCCCCUAUAUGUGUACCAUAGACCUUAUUAUUUAUCGCACGGUGUAGUUAGCUUCAACUUGUGUCAAAAACUUUAGCCAUGGCAUAGCAUACAAUCUUCUACAUAAUUUCUCUCUGAUCAUUGAGUAGUUUGUCGUUUUGAGGGAUAACUUAAUAGCUUCUUUCCUGUUUUGGGAUAGGGUAUCCUUUCUCCAGUAUUCCUCUACGAAAUAAUUUUCAAGCACCAUCGCUUCCACCUCUUCGGUAAAGGGAGUUAGUUGUUGCAUUUGGUCUUGUAUCAUUUGUUGGUGACGAGUGUAUUCAUAAGGUCAAAGUCAAUGCCUAGUGGUUCGUUUGAACGACUAGGAGUAGCAUGCUCAUCUUAUGUCGUGGUUGUUUCAUGAUCACCUUGGUUUAUGAUUCUUUUUGGUGUUUUAAGGGGUGAGGGUUAUGGGUGAU